AAGGGGACGAAGGGGCAUGGCAUGAUCGCUUUUAAUUUUUUUUUUCUCUUUUUCUAAUUUUCAUUUAUGUUUUUUUUUUUUUCUUUACACACCUUUACGGUCUUUGAAAAACCCUUUCCCCAGUCCCUUCUCCCUCCCUCUCUAAACCCUUCCUUUCUUUCCUAGUUUCCUCCCUCACCCCCUGCGCUCCUCCUUCCCAUUUCCCAAAAUCCAAUCCAAUCCAAUGAGAAAUAGUAUCUCGCACCAGGCCCAGCUGGCCGAUAAUGUUAACAUGCCAAGAACCAAAUACUAAGCAGAAGCAGAAGCAGAAGCAUCAUCCAUCAUGAGUCUCCAAGUCCACCAGCCGACUCACGACCAACUCCACCGCCUCCCUUCUUCCUCUUGCCACCUCCACCCUGACGAGCUCGUCACCGGCUUCUGCGCUUCGUGUCUCCGCGAGCGCCUCGCCGACCUCGACACCGCCGCCGCCGCCUCUUCCUCCUCCACCCGUAAGUCCACUUCCUCCUCCGCAUUCAAAUCCCUCUUGUUCAAGGCUGCUGGAGGAGGGCCGCCCACAUCCUCGAACUCCACCUCCUCUUCCUUCUUGCGCCCGGAGCUCCGACGCUGCAAGUCCUUUUCCUGCGGCCGUGGCGACGGCUUCGCCGGGCCCCGCGCCUCCGCCGCCUUCGAGCCCCAGCGUAAGUCCUGCGACGUCCGGGUGCGCAACACCCUCUGGUCCCUCUUCCACCAGGACGACAAGAAUCGGCACCGCGACGUUGUCCUCCCAUCCGCCGCGGCGGCGCCGGCGGGCGGCCAGAUCGAGGUUGAGUGCCUCUCUGCCUCCGUCGCGGCUCCCGUGCUCGAAACCCGGGAAGAGGAUGAGGCGGAGGAGGAGAAGCAGCAGGAGGAGGAGCAGGGGAGAGACAACGAGGACGAAAUCACGAUCAUGGAUCCCGUCCUGGUGGUGGGAACGUCGGGGGAGAUCGAGGAAGGAGUGCGGGAGGAGGAAGCGGAGCUGAAGCCGAUGAAGGACCAUAUAGAUCUGGACUCCGGCGCCCAGGCUAAAAAGCCUCCUCCCAAGGACCUCAAGGAGAUCGCCGGCAGUUUCUGGCUUGCGGCCUCCGUCUUCAGCAAGAAGCUCCAGAAGUGGCGGGGGAAGCAGAAGCUCAAGAAGCAGCAGGCCGGCAGCAAGGCGGCUGCGUCCGCUAUGCCGCCACCGGGGAAGCCCCACCCACCGUCCCGCCGGUUCCGCGACACGCAAUCGGAGGUCGCUGUCGACGCGUUCGGACGGCGGUCAUGCGACAUCGACCCGCGGUUCUCCCUCGACGCCGGCCGGAUCUCCUUCGACGACCCCCGGUUCUCGUGGGACGAGCCGAGGGCCUCGUGGGACGGCUACCUCGUCGGAGGCCGAUCCGUGUUCCAUCGCCUCCCUCCCAUGCUCUCCGUCGUGGAGGACGCCCCUGUUCCCGCCGUAGAGCGAUCGGACAGCCAGAUCCCCGUCGAGGAGGACGCCGUGCCCCCGGGCGGCUCCAUACAGACCCGAGACUACUACUCGGACACGUCUGGCCGGCGGCGGUGGAGCUUCGAGCGGUCGAACUCUGUCCGGAAGGUGACGGUCGAGACUAACGAGCCGAAGCCGGCCUCCGAUGCCAAGGUAUCUCCCGGCAGCGGCACCGAGUUCUUCCCCUUCCAGCCGGGAAGCUUGCUCGACAGGGAUAUCUUGCGAGGUUUCAGCUCAAAUUCUCUGAGGGAGGACCGGUCCGAGAGCUUCGAAUCGGCUUUCGGAGAGCCCUACAAGGGGAGUUGUACAAAGAAGCCCAGGAGGUGGGGCAAGGCAUGGAACAUCUGGGGGCUUAUAAACCGCAGAGGCGGGAGCAGAGGAGGAGGCGGCGUGGUGGUCGAUAGAUCCCUGUCGGAGUCCUGGCCUGAGCUGCGGGCGCGGGGUUGCAGCGGCAGGAUCUUGCGGUGCAACAGCAGCGCAAGCUCGAGGAGCUCUUUGGGUGGAAAUGGUGGUAUCGGGAGCAUGAGCAGGAGCGGCAUGGGGAAGAAGAGGAGGGAGGAGAUUGUGUUGGAGAGGAACCGGAGCGACAGGUUUUCUCCCACCCACUUUGACAUUGGGUCGCUCAGGUGGCGGGAUGGGGGAUGGGGGAAGGGAAGGAACAUCAAUUCUCACCACUGGGCAACAAGGAGCACGCUCGGAUCGUACUGACUGACCCACUGCACGCUUUCGAUCAGCUUCAUCUUCUUCCUUCCUCAGAGUAAGCACAAAUUUCUGUAUCGUUCCUUCUUCUUGUUAGCUAGGUGAAAAGGCAUUAAUGAUAUUUGCGUCCGUUGCCUCAUAAUGCAUGCUUUUCCUGCUGCUCAUCAUCCUGUCAUUAGCAUUACAAAAGAAGAAUAUCGUUUUAUUGCGAACCAUAUGGGGUUAGCUUUGUGUUUCUUUAAUACACAUAUCCAUAUAUCUACCACAUAAAGUAGAACAUAUUCUUGACGAAGUAAACCAUAUUUACAUAUUCUUGCUGGGCUUCCUCUUUUUUCUUUUUUUUUAUACCAUGAUUUUUGAGUUUAUAAUUUUAGUUUCUUUAAUACGGUUCUUGUUUCUGUUUAGGCUACUCUAUUAUAGAAUGUAUGAACAUUUGAUGUUCGUCAAGUUAUUAAUUAGCUGUUCACAAUCUUGAAACUUUGGUAGGGUUCCUAAUUACUAUUUCUAAUGAUUAAGUUAUCCUCGCUUUAAACCAUGAAAUGCUGGCCCAGGACCUCACCCAACAAGCUAGUCGGAAGAGAUUCUUUGGGUUUCCUGAUUUACCCAUUGCAUAGUCAAUGUAGGACUAAACAUACGCCGACACGCUUCUCGCAUGCUCUUCCCCAUUUAAGCCCUGGUGUUCUCGCCAUGCUAAAUGUCUAAAAAUUCAUCGAAAUUCAAUCAUAAAUAUUACAAAUCAAAUUUAGACCCAUGCUACAGUCUUUUAGUCUAUAUGGGUUAUAGGCCGGGCCCGUUGUAAUGCCAUUUGUAACGAUCCGGUGUCUCACCCAAAAAGCUCUAUGAAAGGUAUUGUUUAGGUUUUUUUGGUCCUAUAUAAAUACUCAGGAUCUAUCCAUUGUAUAGCCAAUAUGGGAUUGAACAUAUGCCCGUACGGUCCUCACAACACAAACUCAAAACCGGUCUCCAUUGUUGACUAAGUUUGCAGGGGCUUUACCAUUGUUAUUUCAUGUCACGGGACUCAUAUGCUCAGCUUUUGAGCAGAGUCUUACUGUAUUACAAAUUUAUGUAUUUGGAUAUCGAGGCAUGCUAUUUUGAUGGAAUUGUCUUUUUGCUCUCUUUUGAACAAAUAGGCUUACUGCUUAUCGAUGUUUUUAGGGGAUAUUAUACUUUUUCAUUAGUACAACAGUUCAAUUAAACUUAGACAUCGGUCCUUGUAGAUCAUGAGGUACCAUAGGAAUAACUAUGAAGGUUCGGAUUUUCCCACAAAACAUUGCUGCUGGCCUUUCAGUUCAAAUCUAGCACAGGCUACUUAGGCCUCAGCCAUCUUUCUGCUAUAUGUCGCUGCUGAUUGCCUGCUCAUUUAUCUUUGGAUGCUCUUUAGAACCUGGAAAGAGAAGUUGAAAAACCGAAUGACAGCAUGCUGCAGUAGUUCUCAGAGGUUUGUCGCAUGUCACAGUAUGCCAGUAGGGGGUUCAAGGAAAACCACAUCGGAAGGAGGAGCAAAGAAUGGACUUAUUUUGACUGUAAUAGGAACUAAUCACAGUAUUGUUUUGGAGAAUAGAGAGAAUAAUCAUAUAGAGAAAUAACUUGUGGAAUCUUGUCGAUUGGGAUCCUAUGCUCUAGCUGAUGUCAGUGAAAUUUGAACGAUAUAUGUACGGAUAGUUUCCGGGGGAGACAGCUUGGCUGAUUAGCUGCUGUUAGCAGUCUCCAAUUUGUCAGUUAGGCGGUGAGACCUUGUCUUCUGAUUUAACCUAAACGGACAUACGAUGCUGUGGUACUCCGUAUAAAUGUAAUGCCAUUAUUGCUUGCCGUUUCAAUUUUGUAUAUAAUCUGGUUGACAGGAGUAUCGCUGGACAUGAUCUGCAGUACAAUUAUCUUCAGCGAUUAAUGUCUUCCAAGCUUACUGGAUGUCUGUUUUGAAGCAAACUGAAUGGCGGCAGCUCAACAGUUGUAUCUCCUCCCUCUGGAGGAGGUUCCCAAGUUCCUAGCUGGGAGGUAAUAUACCCACCUGUUUGUUCUCGACGAUUCUCCUGUUAAUGCUUUGAAAUUGUAAGCUGUAAACUUUGACAAUCCGGUUUUGGUGGAUUCACCGUAGUUCAUCCAAACCAGCCACAAGAAGAAGACGAAAUAAGCCGUGCCAAACCAAACUGCAGGCUUAUUACAAUGUUCCAAUCAUUUCCAUGGGCUCGUCUUGCAACUUUUAUACAUAAUUAAUUUUAAUGUAGCAAUUGUUAUUUGGCAGCUAAUCUUCUAAUUAUAAUGAGUGUUUUGUAGAUUGACGAUUUUUUUUUUUUUCUAAGUUUAAAACGCCCUGCGAGCUGGAAAUUAUUAUUUGACGAACAGCAACAUGGUCGUAUAACUCUUGUUUCAUAUCAUACCAUCUGAUGGUGACUGUUAUUAUUAGUUGGUUUUUUUAAUAUUCCAUAACAAUGAAAGGCAUCAGUUUUUCUGUUUUUUUAAUAAUUAGUAUCUUCUGAAAAAUGGUUGAUGCAUCCAAUUAUGUCAUUUGUGAUGAUGCUGUAAUUAAUGCAGUAAUAUUGUCCUUCCAAGAAUGAAUAGUAAAACUGCCAUGAUCGUCGACAACUUGUUGCGCAUAUAGUAAGUCUGUUACUGCAUCAUCACAAUUGGGCUAAUACGGCCCAUGGAAGACUGCUUGGUCUAAGUCGCCGCAUUGUAGAUGAUAACAAGAGUCAUGGUAAUGAUAAAUGAUGCAACUUCGGCGAGCCCCAUGGCUUUGACAAACGGGACUCGAUGUGUCACGUAAGUUAGAUUAAAAUCUGACUUUAGAUUUUUAAAACUUAGGUUUUGGAUUUCUCGGAGGGAGGCUCCGGGAUUGUGGACUGAUUUGGGCCACUGUUGGAAGAGCCCAGGAUAUGAAUCGAGUUACCUUGUCGCUAUGGUCGCUCCAACUCAAACUUGCCCGGGUCCGGGCCCCGGCCCAUUCCAAACGGCUGCGAGCGGGAGUCUGAUGUCUCAGAGAUCCUGUCAGCGAUAAUGAAUUUAAAACAGUAUGUUGCCGUUCGAUGGAUUCUAAUUUAUCUCCAACGGAGAUUGUAUGAUUUCUUUUCGCUAAAAACAAAAAAACUGUGCCCUAUGGUUUGAUGGAUCGUAUCGUAACAGGAGAAUCUCCUAUUGGAAUUCUAGAAUUUGUGGAAAAUUGUGUCACGAAAUCCGUGGCUGAAAGGGCUGUAACAGCUAGGGACAUGGUUGUUUUUUCGGGUAAUCAAAGUCGAAGAUACGCAGCACGAUGGGCAUGGGCCAUGAUCAAGCGAUUCGAAUCUGCAGGGUUCUCA